GGAAUUAUUACUGUGAAGCCCAGAACAGAAGAGGACGUCAUAACUCCACCUUACAUCUGAUUGUUGUUGCAGGUUCAUUGAAAUUUCCAGUUGCUCUAUCAGUCAGUGCUGUUGUUCUGGUCUUCAUUCUUCUUCUCUCUGUCGUCCUGUGGAUUAGAAGAGAGAGGUCUUUGCAACAACAACCUGAGGCUGGUGAGAGACCACACAACAGAGCAGAGGAGACAGAUGAACUUCAUGCGAGCGUACAGUGCGUUAGGAACCAGCCAGAGGCUCUCUACUCCAACUUCAGCCCAGCUCAGCCCCUCAGAAACGAGGAGGAGGUUGUUUACGCGACCCCCAUCUUCAACAGUGCCGCAGGAACAAGGCGUCAAGCAGCUGUGGAGGAUGUAUCUGCCCUGUACAGCAGAGUUAAUAGAAGCCACUGAGUGUGAUGACAACAUGGAUCUGUGGUGAAGGAGCAAGAGCAGAAGUUGUGGAACAAGUGCACCGAAGAAGCAGGCGAAUGCUGCUCAAGUGUUUGCAUGUAAUAUUCCUUACAAAUUGAUGGUAGUUCCUUCAGUUACGGAAACUAUAUCAAAUGCUCCUUUUGAUAAAUGAAAUGAUCUUGAAUACAGUUGUUAUAAACUUUAAUCAAGGCUUCUGAGCACAUCCCAUGAUCAGUGAUGGCAAUGAAAAUAACCAUGAAUAAAUAAAUAAAUAAAUAACCUACACACAAACAGUCACAAGUACUAGUAAUGUUGGGGUGUAAAGUGACAACACACAUUGAGUCAAAAACAAGUUCAGAUCUUCACCAGCCUGUUGGACAAUUACACUCCUUGCAUCAAAUCAAACCUGGGUUUUAUAAUAUUUGUGGGGUUUGUUUCUAACCUCCUAUGAGCCUACAAUGGGUGGGGUUACCUACAUCAGGACAACUUCAUAAAGAAGCAUGUGGAUAGGGUCAGUAACCCCUCUUAGGUUUCCUUAUCGCAAUAUUGUUGCCUAAGAC